GGAUGGAUGUCUGAGCGGUUGAAAGAGUCAGUCUUGAAAAUCAAAGUAUUUAUAGAAUACCGGGGGUUCAAAUCCCUCUCCAUCCG
rnacentral:tRNA from 1 species